rnacentral:rRNA from 1 species
UACGUAGGGGGUUAGCGUUGUCCGGAAUCAUUGGGCGUAAAGAGCGUGUAGGCGGUCCGGUAAGUCCGCUGUGAAAGUCGGGGGCUCAACCCUCGAAUGCCGGUGGAUACUGUCGGGCUAGAGUGCGGAAGAGGCGAGUGGAAUUCCUGGUGUAGCGGUGAAAUGCGCAGAUAUCAGGAGGAACACCUAUUGCGAAGGCAGCUCGCUGGGACGUAACUGACGCUGAGACGCGAAAGCGUGGGGAGCAAACAGG